UCUAAGCACAUGCCUUAAUACGGUGAAGCCGCGAAUAGCUCAUUACAACAGCCACCGUUUACUAGAAUAUAGUUAUCGUACUUGGAUAACUGUGGCAAUUCUAGAGCUAAUACAUGCAAAAAAGCUCUGCCCGCAAGGAACGAGCGCAUUUAUUAGAAUAAAAACCAAUCGGGUUUCGGCCCGUAAUUUGGUGAAUCUGAAUAACUUUGCCAAUCGCACAGUCCUAGUACUGGCGAUGUAUCUUUCAAGUGUCUGCCUUAUCAACUUUCGAUGGUAGGUUAUACGCCUACCAUGGUAGUAACGGGUAACGGAGAAUAAGGGUUCGACUCCGGAGAGGGAGCCUGAGAAACGGCUACCACAUCCAAGGAAGGCAGCAGGCGCGCAAAUUACCCACUUCCAG
rnacentral:rRNA from 1 species